ensembl:lncRNA
GGGGAGGGGACACACCCCGGACAGGACACCAGUCCAUCGCAAGGCACCGCAAGCGGGACUCGAACCCCAGACCCACCGGAGAGCAAGACCCAGUCCAACCCACUGCGCCACCACACCCCCUGACAUUAAGCUGUCUAUAUUGAAACUGAAACUAAUUCAAAAUGACUAAUUUAAAUUGCCCCUCCCAGUCAAAAUCAGUGCUGACUUUUAAAUAUGGGAGAUUACGUCGCUGCUCACCCAUAAUGAAUUUCUUGCUGUACACGUGGUGUUUUGUUAUCAGUGGUGUUGCAUAAGUGGCAAAGCCCAAAGCUUUACUCUGAUAUCCACUUUCCCGCAUGUUUUCCUGCCACUGACAGUGCUGGGGCACAUGGGUGGAAACUGGCGAAGAGCAGGGAGUAACAGCAGGCAAACGAGAGGAGUGCAAAGUUCGAAGUCAUACAGGGGGGCAGGUAUAAAGGUAGGUGAACUGUGAGCUAUGGCAGAUUACACACUGAAUAUGGAGGUGAGUCCUGCAUGGGUUCACAGUGUCUUCAUCGUCCUGGCCGUGUUGAGCCAGAUCCUCUCUGAAUUCUUCACCACAACCUUCAUCAGCGGUGUGUACCACAGCUCCAGUGAUAAUGUCUCUUACAGCUGCUCCAUUGAUGCCUCCCUGGAUGCCUGGGCCAGUUCCAUGUGGAUCAUGCUCAGUGUGUGGAAUUUGGUUUGGCUCAUAUACGCUUUCUCCACAGUACUUCGCAGGAACGUUCUCGGCCCAGUGUGCUGUAAUCCUGAAGUACACCCACCUCUCUUCUACAUGACCUGGAUUUUCAUCGGUUUUGUGAGGGUUGCCUUGUGGUUUCUCGGGAAUGAUCCGUGUUUGGUCAGAACCUUUGCCCUGAAGAUGCUCAUUCCAGUGUCAGCCAACGUGAUGCUCGGCAUUUCCUACAGCAACCUCCAUCAGCAUCAGUCCUGGCUGGCCGCCCACAGCCCAAACGACUACUGGUUUAUUUGCUUUCUUACCCAGAAUGGACUGGCCAUGUUCGCGACCUGGACGUACCUGGAAGCCAUGGUGACCCUGGGUACUGUGCUCAAUUACAACACUAGUCUUCAGGAUCCCCUCGUCAGCACUGUCGUCCUCACGUUGCUCUUGAUGGGCUUGGUUAUAUGGUUCACUUUUGAAAGCUUCAUCUUUGAGAAGCUCAUGCGAUACACGUUCACUGUGUAUCCCACAAUGAUCCUGGGCCUGGGGUCUAUCUUCACCAGAAGCUAUCACUUUGAUGACAUCGCACCCAACACCGUUUACUGCGGAGUUCUGAUGCUCUUUGCCACGCUCCUGAACAUCAUCCGGUUGAUUGCCGUUUGCUGCUACAAAGACAGGAAGCCCUCAUUUCUCUCUCAAGACCGGGCUCCCCGGGAAGACGUCUGUGAAACGGUGGCUCAGGAGAAAGACCGUCAAGAUGCCGAAGACGGCAACUGGGGCAUUGUCAACAGCCAGUUUUCCAAUGACUGAGGCCCUGCUGGAUGGAAAAGCGUCAUGCAUCUCGGGCACAUGAUUGUGGGGAAGCUGAAGGUUAAAAAUUCAGUUCCUCUAAGAUACUUUGCUGCUACGUAAUGAAAGAAAAAUUAUUGAAAUUGGACCAAAAAUAUACCAACAGAUCAAUAUGUAAAACAGAGUGCAAAAACGCUUUGAUGCUUUCAAUUUGCUUUAACAAGCUACCAAAGGAAGUACUGCUUUGGCUUCAAAAUGCUGCAAGAACCGUAAAUGAAAAGAAAUACAUGGCAAUUUACAAUUUCAUUGUUUUUUUUAAAUCAUAAGGGAAAUGUUAGAUGUAACCACCUGAUUUCAUUGUUUCAGUACACAUAAAAUUUAUUUGAAAAUGAUAUGUACAACAUACAAUUUGUGAGGAAAGCAUGAUCUUGCAAAAGUCCGAAAAUCUGUGGGGGAAAAAGGGUAAAUUCUGUUAUGUAAAUACCAUAUGAUCCAUACCUUUGGCUUUUUAUUAUUAUUUCCUGUGCAAUACUUUGCUACGUUCCUUUAAUCCACAUACACUUUAAAAACUGUCCUGUCUUAGUAAUGUAAAUCUACGCCCUGAAAAUCAAACAUAGGCUGAUUUAACUUAUUUUAAACACGUAUGAAUUCUUCAGAAUUGUCCAGAAAUUUGUUGUGAAAUAAUAAAAAAUGACCUUAGGCCUCA